AAAUUGAAGAGUUUGAUCAUGGCUCAGAUUGAACGCUGGCGGCAGGCCUAACACAUGCAAGUCGAACGGUAACAGAAAGCAGCUUGCUGCUUUGCUGACGAGUGGCGGACGGGUGAGUAAUGUCUGGGAAACUGCCUGAUGGAGGGGGAUAACUACUGGAAACGGUAGCUAAUACCGCAUAACGUCGCAAGACCAAAGAGGGGGACCUUCGGGCCUCUUGCCAUCGGAUGUGCCCAGAUGGGAUUAGCUUGUUGGUGGGGUAACGGCUCACCAAGGCGACGAUCCCUAGCUGGUCUGAGAGGAUGACCAGCCACACUGGAACUGAGACACGGUCCAGACUCCUACGGGAGGCAGCAGUGGGGAAUAUUGCACAAUGGGCGCAAGCCUGAUGCAGCCAUGCCGCGUGUAUGAAGAAGGCCUUCGGGUUGUAAAGUACUUUCAGCGGGGAGGAAGGGAGUAAAGUUAAUACCUUUGCUCAUUGACGUUACCCGCAGAAGAAGC
rnacentral:rRNA from 1 species